rnacentral:snoRNA from 1 species
UACCACUCAGGGUCACACCUGGAGAGUUUCCAGCACUCUACCAGUCUCGACUAUGGGAGGGAGAAUCAAGCAGAGGUCUACCCAUUCCAUUCCUAGCUUGGGCAGUGGCUAGCGAGUGGAAGGCAAUCUGCUACAAGU